rnacentral:rRNA from 1 species
UAAAAUUAACAAAUUUGGCGGUAUUUUAGUCUUUUCAGAGGAACCUGUCCUAUAAUUGAUAGUCCACAAUUAAUUUUACUUAUUUUAUAAAUUUGUAUAUCGUUGUAGUUGAAUAUUUUAAAAGAAUUAUAAUGUUCAAAAUUUUUAAAAAAAAAUUAAAUCAGAUCAAGACACAGUUAAUAAAUAAGGAGAGAUGGGUUACAAUAAAUUAAUUUAUAUGGAUUUUAUAAUGAAAUUUGUAAAUAAAAGUGGAUUUGAAAGUAAUUUUUAAAUAUUUAUAUUAUGAUUAUAGCUCUAAAAUAUGUACAUAUUGCCCGUCGCUUUCAUUUUAAAAUGAAAUAAGUCGUAACAAAGUAGACUUACUGGAAAGUGUGUCUAGAA